UACGGGGGGGGCAAGCGUUGUUCGGAAUUACUGGGCGUAAAGGGCUCGUAGGCGGCCAACUAAGUCGGACGUGAAAUCCCCAGGCUCAACUUGGGAACUGCGUCCGAUACUGGAUGGCUUGAAUUCGGGAGAGGGAUGCAGAAUUCCAGGUGUAGCGGUGAAAUGCGUAGAUAUCUGGAGGAAUACCGGUGGCGAAGGCGGCAUCCUGGACCGACAUUGACGCUGAUGAGCGAAAGCCAGGGGAGCAAACGGG
rnacentral:rRNA from 1 species